rnacentral:tRNA from 1 species
AAAAUUUUAAGUUAAUCAAACUAGUAGUUUUCAAAACUACAAUUAAAUUUCUUUUUAAAUUUUA